UACGAAGGGUCCAAGCGUUAUCCGGAUUUAUUGGGUUUAAAGCGUGCGCAGGCGGUUUCCCAAGUCAGUGGUGAAAGCCCGGAGCUCAACUCCGGAACUGCCAUUGAAACUGUGAAGCUCGAGGACGAGAGAGGUGAGUGGAAUUCCCAGUGUAGAGGUGAAAUUCGUAGAUAUUGGGAAGAACACCAGUGGCGAAGGCGGCUCACUGGCUCGUAACUGACGCUCAUGCACGACAGCGUGGGGAUCAAACAGG
rnacentral:rRNA from 1 species